CCGCUCGCCGCUCGACGUGACUGCUUGCUGAGACUGCCAGACGAACGCUUGCCAUCGCUGGAACACGGCCCGAGCAUCCCUGAGCUUCGACGCCUGCUCGACGACAUCCAGCCCCCGCUUGAUCCCAUCAGCCUCGACCCCCGACCGUCUCACGGCUCGUAACACGCACGCCAGGGCUGCGCAGGAGGAUUGACAGGACAGCAGGAGCAUCUGAGCAGCAGAAUACAGUCGCUCUCAAAGACCGAGAAACGCGGAUCCCAUGUCGUACGCGGUCUACUCGCGAGACGAGGGCUCGCCCCGCAAGUCUCACUACGACAGCUACCCUCCGCCUUCCUCUCACCAACAUCACCCUCACCUCCCGCAGCAAUCCCGCACCGUCCCCAACUCUCCCGCCUCCGCCUCCGGCUCGUUCCUCCCUACCUCACAAUCGGCGGCUCACCACCUCGGCCCUCGAUCUUACACGAGCUACAGUCUCGGCCCUGCGUCCUUCGUCGACGAGCAG
rnacentral:misc_RNA from 1 species